rnacentral:rRNA from 1 species
GCCAAAGCUAACGCAUUAAACACUCCGCCCGGGGAGUACGGUCGCAAGGCUGAAACUCAAAGAAAUAGCCGGGGGCCCGCCCAAGCGGUGGAACAUUUGGUUUAAUUGGAAGCAACGUGAAGAUCCUUACCGGGUCUGGCCAUUCCUUAGCCCUGGUUUUAUAUUAAGUUUCCCCUUAGGGGCCAMCRGUGMCAGKUGKUSCAKGKUUKUCKUCAGYUCGKKUSGUGAGAUGUKGGGUUAAKUCCCSCAMCGAGCSCAMCCCUUGWUYUUAGUUGCCAUCAUUUAGUUGGCCAUUUUAAGGUGACUGCCGGUGACAAACCGGAGGAAGGUGGGGAUGACGUCAAAUCAUCAUGCCCCUUAUGCCCUGGGUUACACACGUGUUCCAAUGGACGAUACAAACGGUUGCCAACUCGGGAGAGGGAGCUAAUCCGAUAAAGUCGUUUUCAGUUCGGAUUGUAGGCUGCAAUUCGCCUCCAUGAAGCCGGAAUCGUUAGUAAUCGCGGAUCAGCAUGCCGCGGGGAAUACGUUCCCGGCCCUUG